CAGGGAGACAACAAAAUGUAAAUAUUAAUUUUGUCACCUUAGGUCGAUCGGUAUCUCAGAUUCUUAUUUUUUAAGAAUUUCAGUUUCUAAGUUUUUUCUAGGUCACACCCAUCACUUUUUCCUGGGCCAUUAGCUCAGGUGGUUAGAGCGCACCCCUGAUAAGGGUGAGGUCCCUGGUUCAAGUCCAGGAUGGCCCAUAUCUCUAUGUUGGGGGUAUAGCUCAGUUGGUAGAGCGCCUGCUUUGCAAGCAGGAUGUCAGCGGUUCGAGUCCGCUUACCUCCACUGAAUACCACCUCUUACAUAUUUAAAGAGGGAAAUUGUUUUGAGUCGUGUCCUAAUUUGCUCUGAGCGAAUCUAGCUUCCUAUUUUAUUCAAUAAAUAAGAUGCUGGACUCAUUGAAUUUUUUUUCAUUGUUUUCAGAGAACCUUGACAACUGCAUAGAUUAUUUUUGAAGACAAUAAGCAUCUUUAAUGAUGCAGAUUUAUUAUUUGUGCGAAUGCAUUAAAUAGCAAUUCUAUUAAGCUGAUGCUUCAAUUAUUGAAGUUAUU
rnacentral:tRNA from 1 species